ACCCUGAAACUCGGAGUAAGUCGUGCGGGGACCACCUCCAAGGAAAAUUUACUGAAAAAAUUGAGAAAAUCUCCCUUGCAGAUGGACAACCCUAACUCGAAAAUUCCAAAUUUUACUCUUAAAUCAACACUUCCAAACAUCACAUAAUUAUCCUUCAGAAAUUCUACACAUCAUAUACAAUAAUCCCAAAGUAUUCAGAGCUACUAAACACAAGCGGAAGCAAGAAAACACGAGUAGGUUGAACAGGUAACCUACUGAUGAAAACUGGCAGAAAUGCGGGUGACUAUACCUCGCCUCCUACUAGAUCCAACCCGAACUCUGCAGACUGGGCAAUUUAAAACGAAAGGCCCAGGGGAAAACAUUUAAUAACGUUAGAGUGAGUGGACAAAAAUAAAAUAAAGGAAAUAAUUCUUUAUGCUUUCCCAAUUUUUACUUUUCCAUAGAAAAGAAAAUAUGCUGCAUGCGACAGCUCAAAACGCUCAACACGAAAACUGAAAUUUCAUGACUGGCUCCGGCCAGUCUUCAACGCUCAAUAAAAUACAGCCUCUCAGGCUAAAAUAAAAUAUGUAUGUAUUACACUCGUCAUAUCCCCUAUAUAAAUUAUUAAUUUUAUAUAGGGCUACAACGAUUGCGUCUAACGCUCACGUUGCACCAUAAUGGAAUUUUACCUCAGUAUGGUGGAAAAGCACGUAUAGCUAGCUAGCAUUCUCUCAUAUACAUAUUAUUCUCAUAAUCAUCCACAUAUGGAUAUAUAUAUAUAUACUCACCGAAAUUCUCAAUUUCGGUUAUUCUCCAACAACAUAAAUUAUUUCGCAUGCACAUUAUUUAAAACAAAAGUCCACUAAAAAAUUAGGCCUAAGCCUGAUGUCGAUCUGGGGCCUCGUCAGCUCGAGCCUCCUCACGACUUGUUCCAAAUAUAAUAUUAAGUUCCCAGCCGAAAUUCCAAUAUUUAAUCAAAAUAGGCAAAAUUACCCGAGAGCCAUAAAUACGCUCAUCAUUGCCUAACUUCGAUAAUCUUAAAUUGGAACAAUCCGAACUUAAAUAUCAUACUCAACAGACGUAAAUACAACCUCUCCAAAAUACGACUUAAAUCCUACGGCCGGAUUCUACAUUAAUUAACCGCCAAAAAUACUAACUUCGGAAAUUCAUAAACCUAUCCAAAACUCAUCCAAAAAUUCCAUAACUCACUUCAAUAAACUCCCCUUAAUAUUCCAAAUUUAACAACAUUAAAAUCUCCCAACCGGCGGCGGCGCCGGCGGCGGCUCCGCCGGCAGCGGCGGCCGGAGGUCAAUUCCGGCGACCUCCAAAACCUAUGAAAUUUUAACAGCAUCUUCCUCUCAUCAUGCUCUACAACUUUCAUAACUAGCACAAACACCAAUUCCAAGCCUAACUAGGGCAAUCGACUAAAAA
rnacentral:lncRNA from 1 species